AUUGAACGCUGGCGGCAUGCCUUACACAUGCAAGUCGAACGGUAACGCGGGGCAACCUGGCGACGAGUGGCGAACGGGUGAGUAAUGCAUCGGAACGUGCCCAGUAGUGGGGGAUAGCCCGGCGAAAGCCGGAUUAAUACCGCAUACGACCUACGGGUGAAAGCGGGGGACCGCAAGGCCUCGCGCUAUUGGAGCGGCCGAUGUCAGAUUAGGUUGGUGGUGAGGUAAAGGCUCACCAAGCCGACGAUCUGUAGCUGGUCUGAGAGGACGACCAGCCACACUGGGACUGAGACACGGCCCAGACUCCUACGGGAGGCAGCAGUGGGGAAUUUUGGACAAUGGGCGCAAGCCUGAUCCAGCCAUGCCGCGUGCGGGAAGAAGGCCUUCGGGUUGUAAACCGCUUUUGUCGGGGAAGAAAUCUUCUGGGCUAAUACCCCGGGAGGAUGACGGUACCCGAAGAAUAAGCACCGGCUAACUACGUGCCAGCCGCCGCCGUAA
rnacentral:rRNA from 1 species